CCCAUGUUUUUUUUAUGGUGUAAUUUUGCUUAAAAUUUUUAAUAAUGCCCUGGAUGAAACCGGUAAAGUGACUAUAAGAGUUAGUCAUAGAAAAGUACUGCUACCUAAUUUAACUUUUUGAUGCAGGUAUCUAAACAAUAAUUACUUCACUGGAGGGCUCCCAAACAAGCUUGCAAAUCUAACAAAUCUGGAGAUCUUGUUAGUAAUUGAUCCCAUCUUUUGAUACAAAUUACAUUUCUCCUUAUUUUAUCCUUGUAAGUUUAGGUAUUUAUCUUACAACAAAAUGAUUGGGACAAUACCCUCUGCACUUGCCAGUCUACCAAGACUAACUUACUUGUAAGCUUCCUAAUGUGACUAACAAUUUAUCUGAAAGAGCUAUGUACUGUCGUAGAGCAUGUUUCGACUUAACUUUCAGGCACUUGGACCACAAUCAAUUCAGUGGAAGCAUCCCUGAUGAUUUCUACAAGCACCCCAUCCUAAAAGAUAUAUAAGUAGAAGGGAACGCGUUCAAAACGGAUGUGAAGGCGAUUGGCACACAUAAGGUCCUAGAACUACCUGAAGCAGACUUCUUUUUUUUUUUUUUUAGGUUGGCAUAUUUCAAUUACAGAUAGGAACUUCACCUGUAUUAUUAUCUGGUUCUUAAAGAUUCAUUUUCUUUGUCAAAGCGAGGAUGAACUUGAUUUGUCUGUGCAUGUAAAUAAAAAGGGAUCUGUUUUGUUCUUUUCUCUGUCUUUUUGAGAAAGCAAAGAACCAAAAAGACAAAAAGAAAAAAAAAAGUGUUCUUUGCUUAACCUACACAACUUUGUGAUCUUAAUCUGUUUCUUUGCAUGCAAAGUAACAACAAUCUCGGAUAUUUGUAGCUACAUUGUUUAUCAAAAGAGAUUUAUACACCAUCUAAAUUAAUCAAUGAACACAGCACACAUGACAUGAUAUUCAUUAAACGUUAUUUAAUACAUUACUUGGAGAAAACGUUUCCCAUCGAUGUCAUAACCAAACGAAAUAUGUUACGAAGACCAAGCGUAUAUCUUAAUCUUUUAAUAUUUUGGUUUUUUAUCAAAAGAUAUUUAUACACCAUGUAAAUUAAUCAAUGAACAACAUUCCUUGCUCACGUGACAUGAUAUUCUUUAAACGUUACAAAAACCACUCCCCAAAGGGAUAUUAAAUGAAUGAAAUUGGGAUAUGUAUGGUGGUAUACUAGCCAUUAUGGUUAUUGUAAUAUAUGAAGACAUUAAAUGCAUUACUUGGAGAAAAAGUUUCCAAUCGAUAUGUCAUAACCAAACGAAAUAAGUUAAGAAGACCAAGUGUAAGUGGGAAAAGAUCGUCGAAUAUUUUUGUUGGUGGAGAAACAUUCCAAAUCAUUUUAAAAUUAAAGUUUGCAAUCUUUGAAUAUUUUGUUUGUUUAUUUAAAGAUCUAUAGUAGGAAUAAGAAUCCAAGAUCUACUACAUUUUAAAACUUGCUGCGAUGAGAGGUGUUGUUAUCGGAAGAAAAAACGGCUUAACACUAAUAAAAUCCUUAGUCAAUCAGUUGUCUUACUUUUCCUCCUCCUCAGGCGCUGGGAAACCUUUGAUCCAAGAAGCAAAUAAGAGAGAAGAGGUAACAUGGGAUAUGAUGUAUGUAUAUACUAUCGACCAGAAGAAGGAACUUGCAAGAAUUACUAAUAAACUCUCCAAAAGUGAGGCUGCCUUAGUGACUAGGGCAUAUACAAAAUAUGUCUAUCUUAAUCUUCAGGUCCACUCUGCUCUCUCUCUCUCUCUCUCUCUUUGUUUUCAUCUUUCUUCUUACAAUGAUGAAAAGAUGUUUUUUUUUUCUUUCUGACAAUGCAGGAGGAGGAAGAAGAAGAAGAAGAAGAAGAAGACGGUCAGAUGCAACAAGACUCAAGGGAACACAAGGAGGAACUUGCAAGAAUUGCUAAAACAGUCCCGGAAAGUGCGCCUGAUGCAGCCAAGGAAUAUGCAGAAUAUGUAGCUCGUUUUCUUCAGGUAAUUCACACUACUACUCUUGUCUUAAUUUGUGUGUUUGAUCUUUUCUUAAAAAUUAAAGAGAUAGCGAACUCUAUGAGGUUUAUUCUUCUUCUUCUGAAACUUGUGCAAUGCAGAUUACUGAUGAUAUAUGGAAUUUUGAGGAGAAAAUCCUCAUGAUGCAGGAGAUAGUCGAGAUGUUGUCACAGGGCUACAAAUAGCAAAUGAUUCUUGUAUUCUAAUAACCAAGUUUGUUGUUAUUUUUUCUUGAAAAAACUCUUUAGGUUUGGUUAAAUUAUGGUCAUUUUAGCU